CAACUCGCCUGCAUGAAGUCGGAAUUGCUAGUAAUCGCGGAUCAGCAUGCCGCGGUGAAUACGUUCCCGGGCCUUGUACACACCGCCCGUCACACCAUGGGAGUCGGUAACACCCGAAGCCGAUAGUCUAACGAAAGAGGACGUCGUCGAAGGUGGGAUUGAUGACUGGGGUGAAGUCGUAACAAGGUAUC
rnacentral:rRNA from 1 species